rnacentral:tRNA from 1 species
GGGAGUUUGGCCGAGUGGUUAAGGCGCUGUGUUUAGGUCAUAGGCUCUUGGCUUAUACCGUAAAUCCCGCAGUGGGAAACCGCGCAGGUUCGAAUCCUGCAGCUCUCA